UACGUAGGGCGCAAGCGUUGUCCGGAAUUAUUGGGCGUAAAGAGCUCGUAGGCGGCUUGUCACGUCGGGUGUGAAAGCCCGGGGCUUAACCCCGGGUCUGCAUUCGAUACGGGCUAGCUAGAGUGUGGUAGGGGAGAUCGGAAUUCCUGGUGUAGCGGUGAAAUGCGCAGAUAUCAGGAGGAACACCGGUGGCGAAGGCGGAUCACUGGGCCAUUACUGACGCUGAGGAGCGAAAGCGUGGGGAGCGAACAGG
rnacentral:rRNA from 1 species